GCUCAGGAUGAACGCGGACGGCGUGCCUAAUACAUGCAAGUCGAACGAGGAUAUCAGUAAUGGUGUUCGAGUGGCGAACGGGUGAGUAACGCGUUGGUGACCUGCCCCGAAGAGAGGGAUAACAGACCGAAAGGUUUGCUAAUACCGCGUAAUCUCGAGCUAGUUAGAGAAGCUUGAGGAAAGCCGAAAGGCGCUUUGGGAGGGGCCUGCGUCCCAUCAGCUAGUUGGCGAGGUAAAAGCUCACCAAGGCGAUGACGGGUAGGGGACCUGAGAGGGUGACCCCCCACAAUGGAACUGAAACACGGUCCAUACACCUACGGGUGGCAGCAGUAGGGAAUAUUGGUUAAUGGGCGAAAGCCUGACCCAGCAACGCCGCGUGCGCGAUGAAGGCCUUCGGGUUGUAAAGCGCUUUUUAGCGGGAUGAGGAAGGACAGUACCGCUAGAAUAAGUCUCGGCUAACUACGUGCCAGCAGCCGCGGUAACACGUAGGAGACGAGCGUUAUCCGGAUUUACUGGGUGUAAAGCGCGUGCAGGCGGUUUGGAAAGUUGGAUGUGAAAGCUCCUGGCUUAACUGGGAGAGGUCGUUCAAAACUACCAGACUAGAGUACAGCAGAGGGGAGUGGAAUUCCGAGUGUAGCGGUAAAAUGCAUAGAUAUUCGGAAGAACACCAGUGGCGAAGGCGGCUCCCUGGGCUGAAACUGACGCUCAGACGCGAAAGCUAGGGUAGCGAACGGGAUUAGAGACCCCGGUAGUCCUAGCCGUAAACGAUGUGGACUUGGCGUAGGCGGGUUGAAAUCCAUCUGUGCCGAAGCAAACGCGAUAAGUCCACCACCUGG
rnacentral:rRNA from 1 species